AUAUAGAGAGAGAGAGAGAGAGAGAGAUAUAGAUAGAGAGUCAGAGAGUGAGAAAGAGGGUGAGAUUGGCCAUGCAUGGAGAGGCAGAUGUGUUCUGUGUGUGUAUGUGUAUGUGUGUUCCGAUGGGCUCUGUUCUCAUCCCCCUCCCCCAUGCACACCACCUUUUUUAUGUUGUUGUCCCCAGGUCAAGAGCUCUCUCCGU